rnacentral:misc_RNA from 1 species
UACGGAGGGUGCAAGCGUUAUCCGGAUUCACUGGGUUUAAAGGGUGCGUAGGCGGAUUGGGAAGUCCGUGGUGAAAUCUCCGAGCUUAACUCGGAAACUGCCGUGGAUACUAUCAGUCUUGAAUGUUGUGGAGGUUUGCGGAAUAUGUCAUGUAGCGGUGAAAUGCUUAGAUAUGACAUAGAACACCGAUUGCGAAGGCAGCAGGCUACACAAAUAUUGACGCUGAGGCACGAAAGCGUGGGGAUCAAACAGG